UACAGAGGGUGCAAGCGUUGUUCGGAAUUACUGGGCGUAAAGCGUGCGUAGGCGGUUAUUCAAGUCAGAGGUGAAAGCCCGGGGCUCAACCCCGGAACGGCCUUUGAAACUAGGUAACUAGAAUCUUGGAGAGGUUAGUGGAAUUCCGAGUGUAGAGGUGAAAUUCGUAGAUAUUCGGAAGAACACCAGUGGCGAAGGCGACUAACUGGACAAGUAUUGACGCUGAGGUACGAAAGCGUGGGGAGCAAACAGG
rnacentral:rRNA from 1 species